AUGUGUGUCUAAAUCACCUGGGAUCUUGUUAAAGCAGAUUCUUUUGUAGUAGGUCCGGAAAGGGCUGGAAAUUCUACAUUUCUACCAAACUCCCAGGUGACAUCACU
rnacentral:miRNA from 1 species